AUGUAGCUCAGUGGUAGGGUGCUUGCCUGGCAUGCAUGAAGCUCUAGGUUCAACUCCCAGUAU
rnacentral:tRNA from 1 species